AAUAGAUACCCCAGGUAGUCCAUGCCGUAAACGUUGGGCACUAGGUGUGGGGGCCAUUCCACGGUUUCCGCGCCGCAGCUAACGCAUUAAGUGCCCCGCCUGGGGAGUACGGCCGCAAGGCUAAAACUCAAAGGAAUUGACGGGGGCCCGCACAAGCGGCGGAGCAUGCGGAUUAAUUCGAUGCAACGCGAAGAACCUUACCAAGGCUUGACAUGUGCCGGACCGUCCCAGAGAUGGGGCUUCCCUUCGGGGCCGGUUCACAGGUGGUGCAUGGUUGUCGUCAGCUCGUGUCGUGAGAUGUUGGGUUAAGUCCCGCAACGAGCGCAACCCUCGUUCCAUGUUGCCAGCACUUCGGGUGGGGACUCAUGGGAGACUGCCGGGGUCAACUCGGAGGAAGGUGGGGACGACGUCAAAUCAUCAUGCCCCUUAUGUCUUGGGCUUCACGCAUGCUACAAUGGCCGGUACAAAGGGUUGCGAUACUGUGAGGUGGAGCCAAUCCCAGAAAGCCGGUCUCAGUUCGGAUUGGGGUCUGCAACUCGG
rnacentral:rRNA from 1 species